CGCACCGGCCCCCAACCAGAGCAGUGUCUUUUUCCUUCUUAUUCGCUCCACCAUCUACUGCUUAAUGAUUCUGGGUCUUCGUUUGAAAUUUGCGCCGGAGAUCCACUCCGCCUCCCAGGUAAACCUUACUGCCCCGCUGCCAAUCACAUAACAAAGGGGCGGCUCCAUUCGCACCCCGCUCACCCAAUCGCGCUCAGCUUGGAUUUUCACGAUCCCCCCGCUCAGGUUAAGACUUUCUUCGGUCUCUCACAAGCCAUCUGACUUCGGAAGCAUGGACAGCUGGCUCUCACUCAGGUUAAAUAAUUUAACAUUUAGGCCUAAAUGUAACUCUUCUUUUCUACCGGAAAAAAAAACCCUAUGCAAGAGAGAUUCCGAUUUUGGGGCUAUGCCUUCAGCCUAAGAGAGAGCAAAAUCUUUUUCUACCAGCUAAAAGGAGGUGAAAGUUUUGGUCCCCUCACACCGCGGAUCGCCUUUACUUUGUCUAAUUGGGGUGUUUUGAGCCUCAUCGCUACGCCCGAAGUGCAGAAGAGCCUGCGGGAAACGAGCUCGCAACAACCGAGAACCAGGGAUCAACAACAACUCGCGUCGCUUUCCCUAUGUGCAUAUCACUCGACUCUCAUUUAAGCCAGAUGUGUUAACCUGAUCCCUGCGAAACACCAGCUCUCCGUGGAUUUUGACCGCGAGUGACCGGAUGUUGUUUCCGGCCUGAGGUUGCCUGAAAUGCCGUGAGGCUCGUUUGAAAGAUUGCGCCCGAGACCAACUCCGCCUCCAAGGCGUGCCUACCUUUAGCUGCCACCAGUGAGAUAUCAGAGCCGGGCUCCACAUAUCCAAUCAGGAGCACGAGCAAGACAGCUUUUGCAGACUCUCCAGAAAUAUACAAGUCCUUACCAACUGCUCUGCAACCCAGUGUUUCUGGUCCCCUCACCAACAUCGCUUUUUGAGAUAUUUUUUUUACGAACCACCAAAAAAGCAAUUUUACCCCCCAGUACAGAAGACUGGAUCUGAGGGCAGCAGCGGGGACAAAUGAUUGUAAUGAAGCGACAGACAUUUCAUGGCUGGUCUUAGAUAAUUGUGAGUCAUUGUGUCUUAUGGUGAAAAGUACAUAGUUUUGCAAGAGGCAUACAAGCACUGUGGAAAAAGUAAUCAUAAAACUGUUUUUGUGAACACUCUGCUCCCUACGUUAUGCUUUAAAAAAUGUGAUACAUGUAAUGUGAUCAUCAAAGAACAUGACUUUUUUAAAACUUUUAUUCUUAUGCUUUUAAACUAUGUCACAUUAUCAUAAAAUACUUAUUUGUAUGUUAUAAUGUUUUUCUUACACCAUGUGUAAUUUUCAUUCACACCUUGUUCAUUGUAUCAAUGUGUAAUUAUGUAUCUUUGAUAAAUAAAUAAAAUAUUUAAUCUUG